rnacentral:misc_RNA from 1 species
UACAGAGGAUGCGAGCGUUGUCCGGAGUUACUGGGUGUAAAGGGUGCGUAGGCUGUUCUGUGCGUCAGAGGUGAAAUCCACGGGCUUAACUCGUGGGGUGCCUUUGAUACGGCAGGGCUUGAGUACGAGAGAGGUGCGUGGAAUUCCUGGUGUAGCAGUGAAAUGCGUAGAUAUCAGGAGGAACACCGGUGGCGAAGGCGGCGCACUGGCUCGUAACUGACGCUGAGGCACGAAAGCGUGGGGAUCAAACAGG